CCACAAAGGAGUGCUGGUGAUUGAUUGUGCGAUUCAGAAAAGAUGUGAAGGUAAGAGAAUCGGUUAAUCUUAAAAUGGAAUGGUGUCAAAGGACUGGAUGUCUUGAUGAGAUUGAAGUCUAGGGUUAUUGGAGUCUAUAUGGUUUUUGAAGGAGUAAAAGACCUAGAAAGAUAGGAGAUAAUGGGGUGUUAGGAGCUGAAGCUUUCAGAGGUGGAUGCAGUAUGGGUAAAGCUAAGGUAAAAGCCUAGUGUCACUCAGGACAUCAAGAGGAACUGAAGGAAAGGUAAGCAUUGGUGCCACAUGCCUAAAUUCUUUUAAAAAAGAACAAAAAAUAGGACCAAGAAGUCAGAAGGUAGAAGUAGCAGGGAUAAGUAGAGUUUGCCAGAGUGAUAGAAGAGCAAGGGAAUUUGGAAAUAGAUGUGAAAAAUAGUAGUCAUGAAAUAGCAGUAGGUAGUUAAGGAAGUAAGGACAGUGACUCCUCCAAGAUCUGAACCCGCCCCAUGGUCUUACCCCAAAUGUCCAUUUGCUUCUUAUGGCAUAAUCAAUACUGUCCUAUGGUUGGAUCUGCUUGGUCCAUGUGGCCUUAGUACCUGGGAACCUCUGGGAGAGAGGAGACAUAAUGUGAGUAAAUAGCAACUAUAGUUGCUAUAAAAUGGAUUUAGGUGAGCAAAGGUAUGGGAAAUAUGGAAGGUGUAUUAGUUUCCGAGGACUGCCAUAACAAAAUACCAGACUGGGUUACUUGCACAGCAGAAAUCUAUUUUCUCACAGUUCUGGAGGCUAGAAGUCUAAGAUCAAGGUGUUGGCAGGUUCGGGUUCUUUUGAGACCUCUCUCCUUAUAAUCAUAUUCUGAGAUUUGGGUUCUCUUGAGAUCCCUCUCCUUGAAUCAUAUUCUAGAACAUCAACAUAUGAGUUUGGGAAGGACACAGUUCAACCUAAACAGAUGGUAUAUGUCUCAAAUAUUUAAGAAUCCCAGGAUCAUUCCUUACACAUCACCCCUCCUUCUGCAAGAUCACCAUGAGGACCAAUUACCAAACAGAAAACCAGGUACCCUGUGUUACCAGCUAGGCUAGUACCUGGCUCCACAGACUUGGGGUGUCCAGUAAAGCUGGAGCUCAAUGGCUCCAUGACAAGACCUCCUUUGAUCAGAAGCUUAAAAAGAGCAUGCCCACUGCCUGCCAGAGCUUAAAUCCUAAUAUCCUCCCCUAUCACUCUUUGGCCAGGUGCAUGGAGAAAGUAGAGCAAAGAGAGAGCCAGAAGACCCAAAGAAGGCUAGUUCCCAGAUAUUUUUUUCAUUGAAUGAAAUAAAGCAAAAAAGCAAGAGAAGCUGAUGUGUAUGGCCAGUUGAUUUACUUCCACUGCCCACUAAUAAGCUUAGAUUAUGGCCUGAAGCAUAAGGAAAGAGGUGGGAAUCAGGAUAGGCUGAAAAGUGGGAAAAGGAGAGAGGUGUCCUCUCUUACACAGCUACCAAAGUAGAUUCUAGAAGCUAUAAGCCUACUGGCAGCUGAGGAAGCAUGAAGAUUUUGCUCUUCAAGAGAGGUCAAAACACCUCAUCAACCUCCUUGUUCGAUAAAAAUGUGUCAUGGAGAGCCAGCUGUGUUGGCCAGGCAAGGAUCAUUUGGUGCCUUCAGAAAAACAAGUAAGUUUUCUUUUCAAAGUACUCAUUCUCAAAUAGAGUGACCAACAACCUAACAGGAAAUAACAUGGGAGUAGGGAACUCUGAUUCAUGGUCUCAGCCCACCAUCUAAUUUCAAUGAGACCCUGGGCAACACAUUUCUCUCCACUAGGACUCAACGACCUCAUUUCAAUAUUAUUAAUCAUUUAUGUAAAAUACAGAUAAUAAUGCAUGGCCUUCGUCAGUUGUUUUCAGGAUGAAAACAUUCUUCCUGGAAACAAAGCUUCACAGGAGAUUGGGGCGGAAUGUGACCCCCAUCCCCAGCAUACUGACUCAUAGGCCAGUCCUAUUCCAAAGUGCUGAGCUGCUUUUACCGUGUCCACCCUCUAGAACAAUGUUUCCAAUAUUUAGUCACUUACAUUUAUAAAUUUUUUGUAUCCAUGAAUAUCAUCUGUGUUAUUAUUAUUUAUUUCAUAUUUUUAUUUUACUCUGGAUUUGUUUUUUUAACUGAAAUCCAUAUAUUUGAAAGUAUGUUGCUACUCUAAAUAUAAAAAUAAAAAUAAUGAGUAAAAAUUGUUAAAUGCUAGCAGAAUAAUAUUGCCUCUUCAAGACUCUGAAUUUGAGACCAGUCUUUCCUUAUUAAAUGAGAAUGAGCAUCAGUGGCAUAAUGGCAUCACCUUGAGAUUUU
rnacentral:lncRNA from 1 species